AGUGAACGCUGGCGGUAGGCCUAACACAUGCAAGUCGAACGGCAGCACAGUAAGAGCCUGCUCUUACGGGUGGCGAGUGGCGGACGGGUGAGGAAUACAUCGGAAUCUACUUUUUCGUGGGGGAUAACGUAGGGAAACUUACGCUAAUACCGCAUACGACCUACGGGUGAAAGCAGGGGAUCUUCGGACCUUGCGCGAUUGAAUGAGCCGAUGUCGGAUUAGCUAGUUGGCGGGGUAAAGGCCCACCAAGGCGACGAUCCGUAGCUGGUCUGAGAGGAUGAUCAGCCACACUGGAACUGAGACCCGGUCCAGACUCCUACGGGAGGCAGCAGUGGGGAAUAUUGGACAAUGGGCGCAAGCCUGAUCCAGCCAUACCGCGUGGGUGAAGAAGGCCUUCGGGUUGUAAAGCCCUUUUGUUGGGAAAGAAAAGCAGCAGGUUAAUACCCCGCUGUUCUGACGGUACCCAAAGAAUAAGCACCGGCUAACUUCG
rnacentral:rRNA from 1 species